ensembl:lncRNA POTEF-AS1 POTEF antisense RNA 1
AGGUUGUGUGCUUCGUAUGAGAAUCUAAUGCCUGAUGAUCUGUCACUGUCUCACUUUGCCCCCAGAUGAGACCAUCCAGUUGCAGAAAAAUAAGUUCAGAGCUUCCACGGAUUCUACAUUAUGGAUAUGUGCCGCCGAAGCAAGCACAAAGCCCUACUUUUACACAUGAUUAGUGAUGCGUCAUGGACAAGGCUUGGCUCUGUGAAGUCCAACUAACCUACUUGAGAUUCUGAGAAUUCUCUUCAAUGGCUUCCUGUGAGCUAGAGUUUGAAAAUAUCUUAAAAUCUUGAGCUAGAGAUGGAAGUAGCUCCGACAAUUUUCAUUAUCAUGUAAAUCAGAUCACUCAAGGGGCCAACCACAGCUGGGAGCCACUGCUCAGGGCAAGGUUCAUACGGGACUUUCUACUGCCCAAGGUUCUAUACAGGAUAUAAAGGUGCCUCACAGUACAGAUCUGGUAGCAAAGAGGAAACAAACACUGACCUCCUUCUGCCACAUUAUUUGAACCCCUCUCACCCUUUAGAACAAGCCCACCUAACAUCUGCCAGAGAAAAGACCAACAACAGCCUCAAAGGAUCUCU